ACCCGAUUUUUUUUUUUUCAUUUUGUCACAAAGAUGCUUUUAUUUAUCUCUUAAAGCUGGCUUAGCCAGCAGAACCCAAAACAGGGGCAUCAUUACAAAGGAUAGCCCAAAAGGGCUGGGGUAGACAAACAAGCCAAUUUUCCGGAAGUUCUUUUCUUCUGUACCCUACCCAACCAUCUGACAAUCCUAGUAAUAAUCACUUCAGAGCCCGUGCCUUCUAUAGCUACAUUUAUAAAUGUGCCCUCAUAC
rnacentral:lncRNA from 1 species